AUUGAACGCUGGCGGCAUGCUUUACACAUGCAAGUCGAACGGUAACAGGCCUUCGGGUGCUGACGAGUGGCGAACGGGUGAGUAAUGCAUCGGAACGUACCCAGAGGUGGGGGAUAACGCAGCGAAAGCUGUGCUAAUACCGCAUGUGAUCUGAGGAUGAAAGCGGGGGACCGAGCAGCAAUGUUUGGCCUCGCGCCUUUGGAGCGGCCGAUGUCGGAUUAGCUAGUUGGUGGGGUAAAGGCCUACCAAGGCGACGAUCCGUAGCUGGCCUGAGAGGACGACCAGCCACACUGGGACUGAGACACGGCCCAGACUCCUACGGGAGGCAGCAGUGGGGAAUUUUGGACAAUGGGCGCAAGCCUAAUCCAGCAAUGCCGCGUGCGGGAAGAAGGCCUUCGGGUUGUAAACCGCUUUUGGCAGGAACGAAACGGUGUCCGCUAAUACCGGGCGCUAAUGACGGUACCUGCAGAAUAAGCACCGGCUAACUACGUG
rnacentral:rRNA from 1 species